rnacentral:rRNA from 1 species
GUAUUACCUAGAGUUGUAGGCUUUGCCUACCAUCUCUUACCCAUGUCUUUUGAGUACCUUCGUUUCCUCGGCGGGUCCGCCCGCCGAUUGGACAAACUUAAACCCUUUGUAAUUGAAAUCAGCGUCUGAAAAAACAUAAUAGUUACAACUUUCAACAACGGAUCUCUUGGUUCUGGCAUCGAUGAAGAACGCAAGCGAAAUGCGAUAAGUAGUGUGAAUUGCAGAAUUCAGUGAAUCAUCGAAUCUUUGAACGCACAUUGCGCCCCUUGGUAUUCCAUGGGGCAUGCCUGUUCGAGCGUCAUUUGUACCUUCAAGCUCUGCUUGGUGUUGGGUGUUUGUCUCGCCUCUGCGUGUAGACUCGCCUUAAAACAAUUGGCAGCCCGGCGUAUUGAUUUCGGAGCGCAGUACAUCUCGCGCUUUGCACUCAUAACGACGACGUCCAAAAAGUACUUUUUACACUCUUGACCUCGGAUCAGGUAGGGAUACCCGCUGAACUAAGCAUAU